rnacentral:rRNA from 1 species
CAGCCGCCGCGGGAAUACGAAGGGUGCAAGCGUUAAUCGGAAUUACUGGGCGUAAAGCGCGCGUAGGUGGUUCAUUAAGUUGGAUGUGAAAGCCCUGGGCUCAACCUGGGAACUGCAUCCAAAACUGGUGAGCUAGAGUACGGUAGAGGGUAGUGGAAUUUCCUGUGUAGCGGUGAAAUGCGUAGAUAUAGGAAGGAACACCAGUGGCGAAGGCGACUACCUGGACUGAUACUGACACUGAGGUGCGAAAGCGUGGGGAGCAAACAGGAUUAGAUACCCCCGUAGUCCCUGUCUCUUAUAC